CACAGAAUGAAGAAGCCCCUGGUGUUAUUAUCUGUAGAUGGUUUCCAAGAUGACUUUAAUCCUUUUUAGAGCAAGAAGUCUUCCCAUGUAUUUCUGUAAGUAUUUCAGUCCCCCAGGAUAAUACUCUGCACUAUUACAGUGAUGCAUUUUUCCAGGAACCAACUGCAAAUUCAGUCAGACAAUCAAUAAACAAAUCUCUUUUUUGUUUUUAUCUUUGGUUCUUGUAAACGCUACGGUCAAAAUGCUGCCUCUAUUGGAAACUUCUUUUACAAGUGCUGUAAGAGUUUGGGAAAUCUGUCAAACAUUGCGAGCAGCUGCUGAGCAGAGCCCUCCGAUCCGUGUGUGCUUUGGCAUCGGCGGGAUGCACAGGAGCAAAGAGUCACCAGCUCCGUGUUGGCAUUAAUUGUCAUCAGAGGGAGGUUCAGCACCCGCUGGUUUGACCCGUGACUCCAGCUGAAGGAGCCUGGGUCGGGCAGUUACUGUCCUGCUGCUGCCUCGCCAGGGUAUACGGAGCUUUGCUCAGAAGAAGUAGGGGCAGAAGUAGGGGCCUAGUUCCUAGGCCUCCAGGAAGAAAGGAGUUAAAGGAAAACAUGAGCAGAUUGUUGAGAGAUGCUGAAGGCUGCAGAUCCCAAAGGUUACGGCCAGACUUCCUCAGCGGGCUCAGAAUGCCAAGCAGCAACCAGUCAGUUCCUCUGGGAUUCACACCAGCGCCCUCAUCAUGUUAUCCUGGUUGUCUCUGGAGCAGAGAGUCAUGCAGCCAGCCUGCCUCUUUUAAGCUUGGUAUGUGUUAGAGACAGCCUCAUCCUGCGCUGCAUCCCAUCCAGCAGUGGUCCUGUGCUUUCUCAGGUCCUCUUGUAGGCUGGAGGGUAACACUCCUGGAAAACCUUGCAUCUUGUUAAAGUCUGUGGUUAUUUCUGAAGGGCCUUUUCUGCUACUGAAUGAAUGCACCUCGCUGCACAGAAACUCAGCAGAUGGGGUUUGCUGCUUCAGGCAGUGAGACUGUGUAAUUGAGCGUGCAGUAGCACCUCUCUCCGAGUAUGUGUGCCAGGCAGCCAAAGCCCCAGAAACUCGAUGCUCCACGUGAAGUACACGAUGUUCACCUGGACCUCGCUGCCAAGCCUUGAACCAUGAUUUUCAAGGCCAGGGCAGCCUAUAAACUAGCACAUUAGGCUGAGUCACUCUUCUGGCAGGAUAGGUCUAAUUUCUCUUUCUGUAAACUGAGUCUCCAGAGUACAAAUCUCCAGAGUACUUUAUCAUCCUGUAGCUAUUCUAACACAAAAGCCUUUGAAUGACUGGAUGUUGCAAAAGCAAUGAUUUACAUCAGGUAGGGGAAACAACUCCGUGGUAGGUCUUUCAAAGAAAUGAAGCAAUAACAAAUUAGAUAUUUUAUUUUUGUGUUUUGUCUUAAUACUCAGCUCCCCUUUGGAUCAUUAAGAUCUUUCAGUUUUCCUCACCAAUUUGUCUUAUCCUUCCCAAGAGCUUUGGGUCGGUUCAUGUAGCUUUUAAUAAAGGCUCUGUCUCUUACA
rnacentral:lncRNA from 1 species